GUUUUGAUUAGAGUUGCCAUGACAAUGGGAAACACCUAAAAAAGAUCUAUGAAAUGUUAUAUCGGCAUCAAGCCAAGAAGUUAAGCCAAAUCCUGUGCUCUGGUUAUUCCUGUGAGUCAGUGCCUUUCAUCACAGCAUUGCUAAAAGAAGGAUUUGCUCGUCUGACUUUGAAGAUUUGGGAGAAACAGAGCACCCUGAUGGACCAGCUGCCUGAAGGGGACAGGUGGAUUUUAUCCAUUCAGGACAGCAGUGCAGGGUACAAAACACAGCCAGGGAGGGGCAUCAUCUCCUGCUUCUCCUCCUGUCUCCACCCCACCUAACAGCUCAGCAGCAGAAAGGACAGGCUUGUGUUCAAAGAGAAUAAUGAUGGCUGAUUUGUGGGAUAGCUGUCAUAUUAUUGUCUGACGCUCGAAAAAGAGAAUUUGAAGACUGAGAUAUUUAAAGACAGUAACAAGUCACCCUGGGGAGAAUUCCCACCUGCCUAUGGCAGGAGCUACUGCUUGGGAAACGUGCUGCCAGGUCCAUGAGUGAGGCCACAAAGGUGAAUUUGACCCUGCUCCCUCCUUCCCAUGGAGAAGAAGCUCAGGGGCACCUUCAGCUCUCCUGUCUGUACCUCCCACGGAAAUGCUUCCAGAAAUGGGAGGCUCAGUCUUUCAGGAUCUUGGAAAGUCUCUGUAUUGCUGGGAGGCAUUGACCCACGCUCUUGCAUGGCCAUGCAGAUGAAUCCAGCUGUGCAGCCAAGGGAUGAGCCCAGGAAUGGACCUGGGGAUGCAGUGGGGAAACACCUGCAGGGUGCACCCAGGAGUGCAUCCCUGGCUUUUUACCUAAGCUGAACACACACCUUUUGUCCAGCACUGGAACAGGCUGCCCAGGAAAGAGGUGGAGUCACCAUCCCUAGAAAUGUUCAAAACCCUUGGCAGAGUUAGAUAAAUUGUUGGACUUGAUGAUCUUUUCCAACCUUACUGGUUCUCUCCUAGAAUCUUACAUAGCCAUUAACCAUCACAGGGGCUGAUUUUUCAAAUGUGACAAAUCACAAAAGAACUGCAUGAAACUCACUAUAAUCACACUUCUGUGGCUCAACAAAUCACACCAGGCUUCUCCAAGUCCCCAGCAGCCAUUCCCCACCCAUGAAGUAGACCUGUGCUAGCGAGGCAGAGCUCAUCAGCAGCAUGGGGCUGUCACUGGCUGCUCUACCCAGGUCUGGAGAUGGGCAGCAGCUGCUCCAGACACCUGUGCUGGAAGCUGGGUAAGAACUGGGAGAGAAGUCCAGCACUGGCAGAGACUCUGGGUCUCCUCUGCAGAGGAACAGUGACAGAUUUCACCUCCUGGCUGCUUGUGUGGAUAAGGGAGAGAGGGGGUGGCCAGACGGGUCUAUUGAGUAUUUUAUGCCACUGAGGCCAAAGGAAUUAGCGUGGGGGCUGGGAGGGAAAAGCUUGACUCAAGCUUUCACAGACAUAUAUCCACACAAUUAAGGUCAGGGGCUUAUGGCAGUCAGUUCUAUUUCUAUUUGUUUAUUUAUUUGUUUUCUUAAUGGCUUGGUUUCAGUGCUGGAUGGCUGCAUUUGAGCCCUGCAAGCUGCUGAUUUUGCAAUCCUCUCUCUCUGGUGAAAGUACUUUGUUUAUAUUACCAGGCAUGUGUUAUUUCAAUUUUUGUUUAUAUCUCCUGUAUCAAUCAGUGAAACAGUCUGAAGAAACAAGGCCAGGCCAAGGAGAAACACGCAGGUUUUGUUUGGACUGAGAUUCAGCAUUCCUGAAAAUUGGCUGCACCUCAGAAAAACUCUGCAAGUAAUGGUAUUUACUGCUCCCCUCCUUGCAAACAGAGCUGAAACCCAGGUUUUCCCACCAGUGACUUGAUGGGGAAGGUAGAGCUGAUUAACCCCUUGAUUCCCUCACCUUAUGAACUCUUUGGAUGGUAAAAAAAAUCCUUUUCUGGGACAAGCCUCAGGAUGGACUUGGCCACCCCAUUGAUCUCUGUCAUCCGUGCUGAGGGCUGGUGCUCCGUACCUCACUAACAGGACAGGGGCAUCCAUGGCAGAAACCAGACCUGGGAACAGAUCUGUGUGCAUCUGCUUUUACCCUCUCCCCCUGCCUAGCACAGGAACAAAUCGUGCCUGCUCAGUCUCUGCUGCCAGGGCUCUGCACAAGCCGUGGGAUCAGAGCAUGGGCACCACGAAGGCUCAGCCCUGAGCCCAUGGCGAGCACCGGGAUGGGAGGGGGCCAAGCCUGGAAGAUGGGCUGCUCACCCCCAGCUGCUGGGGCUGGCAGGGGACCUCUGGGUUUAGCUUAACCUCCCUGGCUGUCAGGGCUGUGAUCUGACCUGCAGGCAGCCAGGGGGAGAGGAAAGGAGUGGGGUCACUGCCACCGAGGACCCGAGCUGUAUUUUCAUUUUGGACUUGAGGUUGUCGCCUACUUGAAUCAAAACAAGAGUCUUCCAAAAAGCAAACAUGGGGAGGAGGAAAAGAGUGCCAGCCUACAAUUGCUGGAUAGGUCAAUGUGACAGCUCAAGGAUUUACAGAUGAAAGCUUAAGGACGCAGUGCAUACAUUUGUGCCUGAGAUGAAUGUAAAAGGACAUAAAUACCAGUUAAAAUGUACUUUAAGAAAAAAAACCCAACACACUUGUACUCCAGUCAUUACAAUUCAAACAAAGCAAUUGUCAAUUCCCUAGCAAUUUACAUUUAAAUGCACAAUAUAAUUCUCAUGCUAAAUUGUCUAUUUCCAGCGUAGGCCUUGCUCAGAGUGUGUCUGGGAGGGGGAAGAGGAAGGCUGGAGCUGGACUUGUGGAUAGCCACUGGUCUGGGGGAGCUGUGCUGAGCAGCUGAGCUGAGUGACCUCUUUUUCUGGUUUCCCUCAAACAAACGGGGACACUCAUUUUUCAGCAGAGAAACCCAGAAACAUUUUCACCUCAAAAGCACAGAGGAGAUGGGUAGAUCUGGAAAAACAGGAUCAAGAUCAAAAUGUUCAUGGGUAGCAGGGCCUUAAUAUAACAUUUUUACACACAAGCAGGUCCCUCAUCAGGCAGAAAGGUCUUGUCCUAUUCCAUGCUCAAAACCAAGCCCUCUCCCAGAACUCUUCUUAUUGCAACAUAUUUCUGCUAACAAGAUAAGACUUGCUGUAACAUCAGCCUGCCUACACGUCAUCCACUGCCUGCUUCCCAUCUGUUAGUCUUGAUAUUUCCUUAAUCUCUUUCUCUCACACAGCUCCAUGAAUAGUUCCCCUCUGUAGCACAGGGAGUGAAAUUGGAGAAUGCAGCAUUCCUCUCUGGGAAAGGAAUAUAUUGGUUUGAAAUGAGAAGCUUAAAGGCCCAGGCAGGUUGGCUGUUCCCUGAGACAGCAGAGAGAAAUGCAAUGAGAAAAUGGAGGGAGAGCUGAAUUUGAAGUGUCUGUUCUUUAAUUAUAAAUGUUCUUCCUCCAAACAGCUUUUCUUAACAGCUGGUCAUCAAUUACACAGAGUUACUGAGGUUUUCAGACAGGAGAUCAAUAAAUGGGAUUUUUUUUUUUUUUUGGCCAGGAGAAACCAUUACAUAAUGGCUGUGUUUCUUCCCUCUGCUUGCCAAGCUUUCAGGAGCUGGCAGGCAUUCAAGACAGUGAGGCUAUUCUUAGAUGAGGGGCACAGCAUCAAACUCAGCAGCAGCAGCAGCAGCGUGGUCUCCAAUGCCUGGAGCCCAGGAGGGGAUUUGGGGAGGGUCAAUAUGGGACAGGACACAUCAGCCCCACCCACCCUGAGAAGGGCACAGAGCUGGAUGUGACUUCUGGAGGAUGUAUGGUAAUAAAUCAACAGCCUCAGUGCAGCAGCGUGUCUGAGAUGCUUUUAAAAACAUGCCAGAUCUAAAUAAAACCAGACCAGACAGUGACAGGGGAAGAUGGACAGCCUUCCAGAGCUAUCUACAGCUUCACAGAGGAACCUCAGGAUGUGAGGCAGAAUAAAUAUACCUGUAGAGUAGCAACUUGAGAACUGUACACCUUUCUUGUCUGGUUUAUAUAUGUUAUUUGCAGUGAAAUCGAGGCUAUCUGCACAAAAAAAAAGGGAGAGCUGCUUUUUCACAGCCUGCAACCUUUGCUGCGUUUUCCAUAUAAAUCAGGCUGCUGCUGUUUGCUCUUAAUGGAGGAUCUCAUCUGUGUCUUUGCAGAUGACCUGUCUCACACAGACAUGACACAUAAGCAUUUCCAGAGACAUUUCUGUGACCUGCUAUCAUGCCAUAAACCAUCUGGCUACCUCUAUAGUAGCAGAGCUUAAAAACAAGGCCACUCCCUUUGCAAUCUGUGGCUUACAAAUAAAACAGAAUUCUGUGGAAGGGUUGUGCUGCCACAACCUGAGGUUGUCACGUGCCAGCCUGGAGCUGCAGCAGCGUGUUCCAGCCACAGCCAGCACUACAUAAUAGAUUUGUCAGCUCCUCCUGGCACAAAGCUGCUGUAUGGGAUGGUGCACAUCUAUCAGGUGAGAGCAAGCCAGGUCAGGCUCGUUAGGUUAUGCUUGGUAGAAACAUAAACCUAAGAAAAAGCAAAUUUUCACCUGCCAAGGGCUGAGCAGGGGAAAUGCACCUUUUCCACUUCUGGAGGUCAUCAGUAUCAAGAAGGGAGGGCAGGACCAGGGUGGGCUGAGAACCAGCCUGAAACCACUCAUGUGAGUGCCUCUCAUGUGAGCAUCAGCAGCGAGAUCCCCGCCAGGGUGGUCCUUGGAGGUGUUCAGCAAAGCAAUGCAAGAACCAGAAAAAGAAACCCCAAAUAUUUUCAUGGCCCAAACAGUACGUGAGACUGUUCAAGCUGCCAGAAAGGCCUGGUGCUCUGGGGAGAAAUGAAAAGAUGUAUUUCAAAGCACAGCAAUAAAAGCACAUUACAGCACCUGAGCCAAAACGUGCUCUCAGUUCACCUUCCAGUGUAAGAUCCAGAACAAGGCUUGGCUGACAUCCACACGUAUAAAGGUUUGGUCUCAGAAAGAAGGACUUCCAAGGCUGUUUCCCAGUACAACAAGCUGGGGCACAAAGGCAUUUGUGGUGUUGGCUUUCCCCACACCCCAGGGGUCUUGCUGUGAUAGUUCCAGGCAUUACAUAGCCGCAGAUUUUCUUGUCUGACCUGUGAGCAAAGCAAGUAUAAUUCAGUCAUCUUGGAUCUGACAGCUCUUCUACCUGCCUCUGCAGAUGAUUUCCUUUAAAAUAAGUAUGGCUUCUACUGCCAGGUAGUCAGUGAAUCCUGUUUGCAAGCAAGAUGACCAACAACAAAACCCCUUGAAGAAAACUAGCCUAAUGUUAGAAAUAGCCCCUCAAGCAAAGG